CGAACCUCACAAAUGCAGAGUUACAGCCUACAAAUGGAGGAUCCCGGGAAGCGUGAAGGAGCUACCAGAAACAAAUCACAGCCAAGUCUGGACAGAACACCACUCUGCCAUGUCGAGUGCCAAACAUAAACAAGCCCAUUAUUGUUGUAGAGUGGAGCAGAGCUGACCUGGGAGAUGAAUAUGAAUAUGUUCUUUUCUACCGGGACAAGAAUUUUGAUACAGAAAACCAGCAUUCAUCGUUUGUGGAUCGGGCAGACCUGCAGGACGGACAGAUGAAGGAUGGAGACGUGUCUUUGAUUUUGAAGAAUGUGACGAUUAAUGACACUGGAAUAUAUGAGUGUCGUGUUGAGACAGAUACAAAUCUGCUUUUGUUGUUGUUGGGAGUUGUAUUGAUUUUAUGAUCAAUAGAAGAACAAAAAGAAAACAUCAAGAAAAAAACUUUAAGAAAAAUCAGGUCAAAAUUCAUAGCAUUAUAUUUAGUCACAAGAAAUUUCACUAAAUAUUCAGUUCAAAAGAAAUUUUGGGUGAUUUCAAGGAAAACAUGUCAUCCACUGAAAAUAACUGGAAACGUUAGUGAUGGAAAAUAUGUUAAAAUGAUCUAAUCUUAAGACAACUGCAAA